rnacentral:rRNA from 1 species
UACAGAGGGUGCAAGCGUUGUUCGGAAUUACUGGGCGUAAAGCGCGCGUAGGCGGGAUGGCAAGUCGGGUGUGAAAGCCCUCGGCUCAACCGAGGAAGUGCACUCGAAACUGUAUAUCUUGAGUUCAGGAGAGGAGAGCGGAAUUCCUGGUGUAGCGGUGGAAUGCGUAGAUAUCGGGAGGAACACCAGUGGCGAAGGCGGCCAUCUGGACGGUCCCUGACGCUGAGGCACGAAAGCUGGGGGAGCAAACAGG